UUCUGGAUUCGCCCAAGAGAUCCCAAGUGAAAGGAAAAAGCAAAAACACCGAGUUCACGUGACCAUUGGACUUCCCCAUUCCACCGCAUGUGACCGUCGGUCUUCCCCCAACAUCACAGAACGCGUGUUCCUGGGGACUCACCAACCUAAUAAUUACACUAAAGCUAGCCAUGGAAUAAACAAUAAUUCAUCAUUCUUAAAACCAGUACAGUAACACACUUUCCUUCAAAUCUGCUUCAACUCAUCUCAUCAAACUUGAACCUUCUUACCAACCAAAGUUCUUCUCUUCAUUUUUACGAAACCACAAUCGUGUUGCCUAACCCAAAUCCUAAACACAGAUCUAAAAAAAAUCUAAUUCAUCUAUGGUGAACAACAAGAUCAUACAUACAUAACCCUUGAUCAUACCCUGAAUCCCCAAUUUCUCAAAUAAGAACCUACUACUCAAACAAAUCGCAUACGAAUAGAGAAGCAUAAAAUGCAAAGAGAUCAUGUGAUAUAGUCUAAACCACAAUCGAGACCGACAUUCUGGUCCAAUGGUUACCAAGUCGUUACGCAUUGCGGUGGAAACUGAAAUGCAAACUCAAUUUUGAACAAAUAACAACUAUGUUAGAGGUUUCCACACGAAAUGAGUAGAUGUGAAAGGAUACCGACAAAGAGAAGAGGAGAUUUCAUUUGCUUCAGUGGAUUUUAGCUCAACCUUGUUGAGACUCGAGGUGAAAUUCCAACAAAUCUUAGGAAAAAUUGGAGCUUUAGUCAGUAUUUGGAUGUUUUUCCUCAGAGUAACGGUGCCUCCUCUUUUGAUUUGCCAUAAUCCGCGUGUAUGCUUGCUUACCGUCACGAGUUUGCUGGGUUUCGCGCAGGGUAACGUUACCGGAAAUCCUCUCCCUUUCCCAAUGAUUCGAUGCCUCCUUUUAUAGCAUCAGGUAUGGCCUUUUGAUUGUGUGCAAAUGAUGCGCUGGUGAAAUCCACAAUCCGUUAGGGAAAGAUCUCCCUUAGAUUUGUGGGGACCAACUCCGGAUUUUGCUUGAGAGCCAAAUUCCUUGGCGUUUAUGGUGGGUGUUUCUUGUAUGUGGUCCCACAGACCUGGCGUUAUCUCCAUGAUUUCACUGUCGUAAAACAAAUGGAUUAAUUACUUACCACGGUAAAAUUCGACUAAUGUAUAACUCUGCUUCUUGACUUAAGAAACAAUGCUUUGCGGUCUUCUUAUUUCCACUUGAUAUGCGAAUUUCUUUUCUUAAGAAAACAAACUGAUUUGUGAUGUUAAAUUUCUCUAUCUGAUACUUGUGUAGUGAUGCCAAUACUCUCCUUGUUUCAACAUUUCACCAUUGCAAUCGGCUCUGACAUCAAUUGGUUGAAUCACUCUUGUGCAGGUUAUUUUUAUGAGCUUUUAUUUUAUGGUUCUGCAGGUUCACGGUUAAUUGAGAUAACAUGAACCAUGGCGGCAUGGAAUGUUGUGGACCCAAAGGUGUUAUUAACAGGCAUAUAUUUUCAAGGUAGAAAGACAUUGUGAUUUGCAACACAACCUGCUCGACCUGUAUUUUGAGGUGGUUUUGUAUUCGCGCCCUGCUACUUCUGGAAUAUCCAAUUGAGUUCUGUUACACUCACAAAUGAUAAACCGCGCGAGACUCACUACAACGACCAGUCCUUUCCAGAUGACGGCACACCACUGUACCUUAAAUACAUAUUGCAGUAGAAUUGUGGGCUAUCUUUUCUUGAUCUGGUUUAUCAUUAUUGAGUUGCAUUUUGCAGGAUGCUCAUAGUGCAACACACAGCAUUCAAGCAUACUUCCUUCUGGGGUGAAACUUGCUUUGAGAUUUGAAUAUCUCCCAUUGUCAACAUUGGGGAAUAAUUUAACCAAAUUUGACCAAUGAAACUAGUACGCGGAGUCAUAUAUUUGUCCUCAUUUGAUUCCCUUUAUGAAACUACAGGUAUUUGGCAGAUGUUUAUAGUGUUGAAUUGAAACUUGCUGAAUAGGUUGCUUAGGCUGCACUUCGAUGUUCAUUGGCCGGCGUGUGAACUAUUUUGCGAGCUGUUAGUAUGACAGGUUUUACAUUUGGAGUUGCGGCGGUGGUCUUGCCGUUUGUGGCAGUUUUACAGGUUGCAGCUUAUGCUUUAGAAGCGCUGCUGUGUUUGUCGGAUGUUUUCCAUUGCAACCUUAAAUCCACUUAACCCUAUGGUGUUAGGGGUGGGAUAUUGAGAGUAAAGCCUCCAUUGGUUAUUAUUGGAAUGGAAUGAAAGUCUUGCAGCCUUGGGUCUCAUUGUAGGUCUUGGUUGCAGCGAAGAUUGUUGUUUAAGAGACAAAAGCUGAUGAUGAUGCCCCUGUGGCCCGGGAUUAUGUGCACGAAAAGGCAAGAUGUGAUGCUAACGACAUUACAAAUUACUUUGGCACAUCGGCAAUUAUUGCUUUAUAAUGUAACAUGCUCAUGGCUAUACUAAUGGACUCACCGACAUGAUACUUGCAUGGUGAGACUCACCCAUGACCUUGAUUCAAACUAGUAUUCCACCUUAGACAAUAUCCCUUUUCCUCGUAUUCGUGUAAUAAACCAUACUCCUAGACGAAAUUGAUUUUAUGAAAUGCAUGUUUUUAGGUAGUAUGGAAAUGGAAUAACAGUGAUAGGAAACUAAAGUGAAGUAUUCUUGCGAUGAAAUGUAUGCCAUGUUUUGCUUAUGGUGCUAAUUAAAAAUGAAAUCAGAUUUACGAAAAUUUAAAUAUGGUCGGACAAAAUUUGGGUAUGACAAUAUUCAUCGUAUGAUACGAGUGACACCGAUUUUUUUAAA